rnacentral:misc_RNA from 1 species
CGUGCCUUGAGAACUUAUUCCUCUUAAUACUUUUAUUCUUCUUCUUCUCCAACAUCGCUCCUUCUCCAGAAUAGGCCUUUAUUCCCAUCUCCUCUCUGUGCAUCGACUUAGAGUUUGCAUUUAGAUUUCAAUUGUAAUUUUAUGUAUUUAUAUGAUUAUGCCUAAAUAAUUUAAGAUAUGAAUUACAAAUGUUAUGAGCAUUCAUUUGUUUAACGAAACUAUUUGGGAUGCCACAAUAGCCAUAG